rnacentral:rRNA from 1 species
AGUUUGAUCCUGGCUCAGGAUGAACGCUAGCUACAGGCUUAACACAUGCAAGUCGAGGGGCAGCAUAAACUAGCAAUAGUUUGAUGGCGACCGGCGCACGGGUGAGUAACACGUAUCCAACCUACCGUUCACUCGGGGAUAGCCUUCCGAAAGGAAGAUUAAUACCCGAUGGUAUGCGAGCAUCGCAUGGUGCUUUCAUUAAAGAAUUUCGGUGUUCGAUGGGGAUGCGUUCCAUUAGAUUGUUGGCGGGGUAACGGCCCACCAAGUCUUCGAUGGAUAGGGGUUCUGAGAGGAAGGUCCCCCACACUGGUACUGAGACACGGACCAGACUCCUACGGCAGGCAGCAGUGAGGAAUAUUGUUCAAUGGGCGCGAGCCUGAACCAGCAGAGUAGCGUGAAGCAUGACUGCUCUAUGGGGUGUAAACUUCUGUUAUACGGGAAUAACAGACUCUACGUGUAGAGUUUUGCAUGUACCGUUUUGAAUAAGCAUCGGCGUAACUCCGUGCCAGCAGCCCGCGGUAAUACGGAGGAUGCGAGCGUUAUCCGGGAUUUAUUGUGUUUAA